GCUCUGUAGUGGUGAGCGUCGGGUUGUGUCCAAAUUUUCUCUUGAAAUAGCCAAUGAACAGGUGACUUACGCUGUUUUUUGCCAAGGUUGGUACCCAGGAACCCAGACGUGGCCCCUGGUGCCCCUAGUGUGGGCACCUGUAGUCUGCCCAGCUCCACGUGCCCGCCGCACCAGCCAGUUUCAGGAUGACGAGAAUUUGCAGGCGUGGACCGGUGUUGUAGUGGGUGGCGGGGCGAAGCUGAGUGGCUGAGGUGGGCGAGGUGGGGGUGAUGGCCAUGGAGGGUUACAGUGUUGUGUCAGAGGCAGUGGUGCAGCGGGUGUUCUGGGUCGACUGGUUCCACCAUACCCCUCAUAUUAACCUCACACUCCACCCCGUCAAUGAUACCUUCAGUCCCCUCUCGCCUAUCUACCAAGAGAGUCUUGGUAUUAUUGGGUCAGUUCCUGCUGGCGUGUUGAUCCUGACAUUGUUGGUGCUGCUGCUGUACCUGUUGACGCGAUGCUGCGACAACCGACCCCGCAAGCCAGGCUCCAUAACCUGUCUGAAGGUUAUGUUGGUCCUCUUUGCCAUAUUUACACUGGGUGCAUUAGGGGUGAGUGUGUGGGGCAACGAAGAAGUUCACGAAGGUGUGACUCAGUCUGUCCGCUCUCUUGACAACAUCAACAGCAUGGUCCACUCACUCAGCAAUCAGACGAAACUGUUCGACGAAACGAUCCGAAGGAAUUUACAGCCACAAUUAAACCUCUUCAAGGAGACAAUCCAGUCGGGAAAGAUCAAGAAUGCAACCGUUGAAAUGUUUAUCAUUGAGAGUCUACACUAUAUGCAGGGCAACAUAUCUGAGGUCCUUCUCAUCAAUGUUGAGGACAUAAAUGCCAUGCUGUGUCGUCUAGGAUACACAGCCAAACUCCAGAUGUCAGGAGCAGAGAUGGGAGGUAUGGUUCGCCUACUUGGAGUAGGAGAGUUAGGGAGAUGGGUGGCGACGCUGGGGAUCACAGGAAUGCUCAUGAUGAUUGUGUUGGUUGUCAUGAUUGGUGUCGCUCGCCACUCACGAUGCACGCUAAUUACGUUCUCGGUUCUGGGUCUUCUUGCCAUGAUCCUGUGUUGGGGUUUGACUUCAGUCUACCUGGUGGCUUCUGUUGCUCUGUCAGAUUGGUGUAUGGAUCCCAAUCCUUUCCUUGAGGAUCAGCUCAGCAAACUGGUAUCAAAAGAUGUCGCUGCUUACUAUCUACGAUGCGAUCCAACACGACCAUCACCAUUCACUCGUUACCUAACCCAUGCUCAACAGGCAGCGAAUCUUGUAUUAGACUCCCUCAAUAAAGUCACCCGUAUUGCAGAUGUUUAUUACGAACGAAAAGAGAUUCACCCUCGCUUGGACCAUUUAGGGGCAUUUGUGAACCAGUCGCAGCGUAGUCUGGGAGGUGUAGCAGCAUUGUUGGAGUGUCAGUCUCUGCACCACCACUACCGCACAGCCCUCAAUGCUACGUGCUACCAAGCUAUGUCUGGUGUAGUGUACCUACUUCUGUCAGCUGCUGGAAGUGGUUUGCUCUUCACCAUUUUGGUCUGGAUUACAUCCCACACUUGGAUCUACCUCAACCACAAAAGAGGCUCAACUAGGUCCAGUUCCACACAGCCAAGCGGCAAGAAUAUACAAGCUGUCAGAGUUUGGCUCAACACUCCACCAUCCCAUCCAGCAGCUAUUGUAGCUGAACCUGGCGUAUCAGAAGAACGUGACCCAUUCUUACCAGGCCGAGGGUCAAGAGGAGGAACACUGACUUCUCUUGGGGCACCUGGUUACUCGAGACCCCGUCACUCGCACACACCACCUCAGACGCCACCAUUUCCUGGGACUUUAAAUGGUCGACUGUACCACAGCGAUGGAAUGGGUAGCAUGGGAGGAGGAAGUGGGUCAGCCCCAACAACAUUGCAGGUCUAAAAAAAAAAAAACAUAACACACAAAAAAGUGUACUGGAAAGAUGGGACACCAUGAGCGUAGCUCUCAUCCUGUAACUACACUUAGUAUAAUCAGUGAUCGACAUGGAGGAGUGUCCCUGAAGCUUACAAAUGACAAAAUGAGUGUGGGAAAACUUCAACAAGUUUACUUGUGGCCAGAGACACAAGAUACUGCUAGAUAAUUGAAAGAUAAGUGUUCAUUAUAUCACAUUUUGUAGAUCAGUGUAGUGGCACUUUGUAGGUUGUACAGUCAAAAUUGAGCGGUUGUAAAUAUAAAAAUGUAAUUGA
rnacentral:misc_RNA from 1 species